rnacentral:misc_RNA from 1 species
GAUGAAGAACGCAGCGAAAUGCGAUAAGUAGUGUGAAUUGCAGAAGUACCGUGAAUCAUCGAAUCUUUGAACGCAAAUUGCACUCUCUGGUAUUCCGGGGAGUAUGCCUGUUUGAGGGUCGCUUAACAAACCAUCGAUUUCGUUGCUUUUUUUUAAAGAGUGAUGUUUAUCGGAUUUGAGCCGUCUUUUUUUUUUAUAUUUAAGUGGCUUAAAAUUGAUUUUUUUGGUACGAUCGAAGCGUAUUUUUAUGAUCAAUUUUUGGUUAAAGAAACGCACACGUACCGUUAUUUAUAUGAUGUAAUACGUUUGACUAUUGGAUUUAGUUCAUUCGUAUACGAUAUUUUUCAAUAUUUGACCUCAAAUCAGGUAAGAACACCCGCUGAACUUAAGCAUAUCAAUAAGCGGAGGA